GACGAACGCUGGCGGCGUGCUUAACACAUGCAAGUCGAACGGAAAGGCCCUGCUUUUGUGGGGUGCUCGAGUGGCGAACGGGUGAGUAACACGUGAGUAACCUGCCCUUGACUUUGGGAUAACUUCAGGAAACUGGGGCUAAUACCGGAUAGGAGCUCCUGCUGCAUGGUGGGGGUUGGAAAGUUUCGGCGGUUGGGGAUGGACUCGCGGCUUAUCAGCUUGUUGGUGGGGUAGUGGCUUACAAAGGGUUUGACGGGUAGCCGGACUGAGAGGGUGACCGGCCACAGUGGGACAGAGGUAAGGGCCAGGGUCCAAGGGGGGGUAGGGGGGGGGAAUUAUGCCAAAGGGGGGGGAGGCUGAUGCCAGAAGGCCGUGUGAGGGAAGAAAGGCCUACGGUUGGGAACCGCUUUCGCCUGUGACGAAGCGUGAGUGACGGUGAUGGGUAAAGAAGCACCGGGUGACUAAGAG
rnacentral:rRNA from 1 species